AGAGAGAGCAAAGGACACUUAGAGGAUCCUCCAAACAUGAGGAAUGUCGAGGCUUCAUUCAGUUUCAUGUGAGUAAAAGAGGAACGUCUGCCUCAAGCAGCAGCUAUGGAAAGGAUCAAAUCUCUGCUUCUGAUUCUUUCAGG